rnacentral:rRNA from 1 species
GAUGAACGCUGGCGGCGUGCCUAAUACAUGCAAGUCGAGCGAACGGACGAGAAGCUUGCUUUUCUGAUGUUAGCGGCGGACGGGUGAGUAACACGUGGAUAACCUACCUAUAAGACUGGGAUAACUUCGGGAAACCGGAGCUAAUACCGGAUAAUAUUUUGAACCGCAUGGUUCAAAAGUGAAAGACGGUCUUGCUGUCACUUAUAGAUGGAUCCGCGCUGCAUUAGCUAGUUGGUAAGGUAACGGCUUACCAAGGCAACGAUGCAUAGCCGACCUGAGAGGGUGAUCGGCCACACUGGAACUGAGACACGGUCCAGACUCCUACGGGACGCAGCAGUAGGGAAUCUUCCGCAGUGGGCGAAAGCCUGACGGAGCAACGCCGCGUGAGUGAUGAAGGUCUUCGGAUCGUAAAACUCUGUUAUUAGGGAAGAACAUAUGUGUAAGUAACUGUGCACAUCUUGACGGUACCUAAUCAGAAAGCCACGGCUAACUACGUG